UACGAAGGGGGCUAGCGUUGCUCGGAAUCACUGGGCGUAAAGGGUGCGUAGGCGGGUCUUUUAAGUCAGGGGUGAAAUCCUGGAGCUCAACUCCAGAACUGCCUUUGAUACUGAGGAUCUUGAGUUCGGGAGAGGUGAGUGGAACUGCGAGUGUAGAGGUGAAAUUCGUAGAUAUUCGCAAGAACACCGGUGGCGAAGGCGGCCAACUGGACCAUUACUGACGCUGAGGCGCGAAAGCGUGGGGAGCAAACAGG
rnacentral:rRNA from 1 species